UACAGAGGUCUCAAGCGUUGUUCGGAUUCAUUGGGCGUAAAGGGUGCGUAGGCGGCGCGGUUAAGUCGGGUGUGAAAUCUCGGAGCUUAACUCCGAAACUGCAUUCGAUACUGCCGUGCUUGAGGACUGGAGAGGAGACUGGAAUUUACGGUGUAGCGGUGAAAUGCGUAGAUAUCGUAAGGAAGACCAGUGGCGAAGGCGGGUCUCUGGACAGUUC
rnacentral:rRNA from 1 species